CCCCAGAAUUCCCUCCAAUUGGUCUAAUCUCCUCUCAGGGUGGUCUCUAGUGGCUGAAGCCCCUCCUGAUUGGUAGAGGGCAGUGGGAGGAGUUCUUAGAAGGGUCACACAAACCCCAGAACUCCCCCUGAUUGGUUAAAUCUUCUCUCAGGGCGUUCCUAUCGGUGCAAAACCUAUCCUGAUUGGUAUAGUAGAAGGAGUUCUUAGAAGGGUCACAUGACACACCUUGCUUCCGGUCAUGUGUCUGCCUUGACCCCGGAAGUAAUACCUCAUGGGGUAGGGCUUCCGAUGACCGGUGGGCAGGGCUUAUUGGUCAAGGGGUGGGGUUAACUUUUGAGUGACAGUAGGGCCUUUACACUCCUCGCUCCUGCUACCCAAAAUUGGAACAAGACAGAGGCAACUAUAAUACUGGGCAGUAUUCACCAUUGUCCUACUGCUCAGAUGCUGUCCUGGCCGUGUAUCUCGCAAACAAGGUCAUAUGUAAAUAUCCCAGCUCCAGAUUUUGUAUGUACUGUGCAUACAUUUCCUAUUAAACUGUUUGAAGUAUCUGUUUCAAUU